rnacentral:rRNA from 1 species
GACGAACGCUGGCGGCGUGCUUAACACAUGCAAGUCGAACGGUAAGGCUCCAGCUUGCUGGGGUACACGAGUGGCGAACGGGUGAGUAACACGUGGGUGACCUGCCCUGCACUCCGGGAUAAGCCUGGGAAACUGGGUCUAAUACCGGAUAGGACCGCACCGUGAGGGUGUGGUGGAAAGUUUUUUCGGUGUGGGAUGGGCCCGCGGCCUAUCAGCUUGUUGGUGGGGUAAUGGCCUACCAAGGCGGCGACGGGUAGCCGGCCUGAGAGGGUGGACGGCCACAUUGGGACUGAGACACGGCCCAGACUCCUACGGGAGGCAGCAAUGGGGAAUAUUGCACAAUGGGCGGAAGCCUAAUGCAGCGACGCCGCGUGGGGGAUGACGGCCUUCGGGUUGUAAACUCCUUUCACCAUCGACGAAGGGUUUCUGACGGUAGAUGGAGAAGAAGCACCGGCUAACUACGUGCCAGCAGCCGCGGUAAUACGUAGGGUGCGAGCGUUGUCCGGAAUUACUGGGCGUAAAGAGCUCGUAGGUGGUUUGUCGCGUCGUCUGUGAAAUUCCGGGGCUUAACUCCGGGCGUGCAGGCGAUACGGGCAUAACUUGAGUACUGUAGGGGAGACUGGAAUUCCUGGUGUAGCGGUGAAAUGCGCAGAUAUCAGGAGGAACACCGGUGGCGAAGGCGGGUCUCUGGGCAGUAACUGACGCUGAGGAGCGAAAGCAUGGGGAGCGAACAGGAUUAGAUACCCUGGUAGUCCAUGCCGUAAACGGUGGGCGCUAGGUGUGGGUUUCCUUCCACGGGAUCCGUGCCGUAGCUAACGCAUUAAGCGCCCCGCCUGGGGAGUACGGCCGCAAGGCUAAAACUCAAAGGAAUUGACGGGGGCCCGCACAAGCGGCGGAGCAUGUGGAUUAAUUCGAUGCAACGCGAAGAACCUUACCUGGGCUUGACAUAUACAGGAUCGCGCCAGAGAUGGUGUUUCCCUUGUGGCUUGUAUACAGGUGGUGCAUGGUUGUCGUCAGCUCGUGUCGUGAGAUGUUGGGUUAAGUCCCGCAACGAGCGCAACCCUUGUCUUAUGUUGCCAGCACGUUGUGGUGGGGACUCGUAAGAAACUGCCGGGGUUAACUCGGAGGAAGGUGGGGAUGACGUCAAAUCAUCAUGCCCCUUAUGUCCAGGGCUUCACACAUGCUACAAUGGUCGGUACAGUGGGUUGCCAGUCCGUGAGGGCGAGCUAAUCCCGCAAAGCCGGUCUCAGUUCGGAUCGGGGUCUGCAACUCGACCCCGUGAAGUCGGAGUCGCUAGUAAUCGCAGAUCAGCAACGCUGCGGUGAAUACGUUCCCGGGCCU